GACGUAGGGCGCGAGCGUUGUCCGGAUUUAUUGGGCGUAAAGAGCUCGUAGGCGGUUCGUCGCGUCGGCUGUGAAAACCCGGAGCUCAACUCCGGGCCUGCAGUCGAUACGGGCGGACUUGAGUGUUGCAGGGGAGACUGGAAUUCCUGGUGUAGCGGUGAAAUGCGCAGAUAUCAGGAGGAACACCGGUGGCGAAGGCGGCCUGCUGGGCAGUUUAGCUGACACUGAGGCGCGAAAGCGUGGGGAGCAAA
rnacentral:rRNA from 1 species